rnacentral:rRNA from 1 species
ACAAGCGGUGGAGCAUGUGGUUUAAUUCGAUGAUACGCGAGGAACCUUACCUGGGCUCAAAUGUAUGUUGACGUAUUCUGAAAGGGAUACUUCUUCGGACAAUAUACAAGGUGCUGCAUGGUUGUCGUCAGCUCGUGCCGUGAGGUGUCGGGUUAAGUCCCAUAACGAGCGCAACCCCUAUCAUUAGUUGCCAUCAGGUCAAGCUGGGGACUCUAAUGAAACUGCCCCGGUUAACGGGGAGGAAGGUGGGGAUGACGUCAAGUCAGUAUGUCCCUUACGUCCAGGGCUACACACGUGUUACAAUGGCCGGUACAAUGAGUUGCGACCCUGCAAAGGUAAGCCAAUCUCAAAAAACCGGUCUCAGUUCGGAUUGCAGUCUGCAACUCGACUGCAUGAAGUUGGAAUCGCUAGUAAUCGUAGAUCAGCACGCUACGGUGAAUACGUUCCCGGGCCUU